AGAGUUUGAUCCUGGCUCAGGAUGAACGCUAGCGACAGGCUUAACACAUGCAAGUCGAGGGGCAGCACAGGUAGCAAUACCGGGUGGCGACCGGCGCACGGGUGAGUAACGCGUAUGCAACUUACCUAUCAGAGGGGGAUAGCCCGGCGAAAGUCGGAUUAAUACCCCAUAAAACAGGGGUCCCGCAUGGGAAUAUUUGUUAAAGAUUCAUCGCUGAUAGAUAGGCAUGCGUUCCAUUAGGCAGUUGGCGGGGUAACGGCCCACCAAACCGACGAUGGAUAGGGGUUCUGAGAGGAAGGUCCCCCACAUUGGUACUGAGACACGGACCAAACUCCUACGGGAGGCAGCAGUGAGGAAUAUUGGUCAAUGGACGCAAGUCUGAACCAGCCAUGCCGCGUGCAGGAAGACGGCUCUAUGAGUUGUAAACUGCUUUUGUACGAGGGUAAACUCAGAUACGUGUAUCUGCCUGAAAGUAUCGUACGAAUAAGGAUCGGCUAACUCCGUGCCAGCAGCCGCGGUAAUACGGAGGAUCCAAGCGUUAUCCGGAUUUAUUGGGUUUAAAGGGUGCGUAGGCGGUUUGAUAAGUUAGAGGUGAAAUCCCGGGGCUUAACUCCGGAACUGCCUCUAAUACUGUUAGACUAGAGAGUAGUUGCGGUAGGCGGAAUGUAUGGUGUAGCGGUGAAAUGCUUAGAGAUCAUACAGAACACCGAUUGCGAAGGCAGCUUACCAAACUAUAUCUGACGUUGAGGCACGAAAGCGUGGGGAGCAAACAGGAUUAGAUACCCUGGUAGUCCACGCAGUAAACGAUGAUAACUCGUUGUCGGCGAUAUACAGUCGGUGACCAAGCGAAAGCGAUAAGUUAUCCACCUGGGGAGUACGUUCGCAAGAAUGAAACUCAAAGGAAUUGACGGGGGCCCGCACAAGCGGAGGAACAUGUGGUUUAAUUCGAUGAUACGCGAGGAACCUUACCCGGGCUUAAAUUGCAAAUGAAUGUUCUGGAAACAGAUCAGCCGCAAGGCAUUUGUGAAGGUGCUGCAUGGUUGUCGUCAGCUCGUGCCGUGAGGUGUCGGCUUAAGUGCCAUAACGAGCGCAACCCUUAUCGAUAGUUACCAUCAGGUUAUGCUGGGGACUCUGUCGAGACUGCCGUCGUAAGAUGUGAGGAAGGUGGGGAUGACGUCAAAUCAGCACGGCCCUUACGUCCGGGGCUACACACGUGUUACAAUGGGGGGUACAGAAGGCAGCUACACGGCGACGUGAUGCUAAUCCCUAAAACCUCUCUCAGUUCGGAUUGGAGUCUGCAACCCGACUCCAUGAAGCUGGAUUCGCUAGUAAUCGCGCAUCAGCCACGGCGCGGUGAAUACGUUCCCGGGCCUUGUACACACCGCCCGUCAAGCCAUGAAAGCCGGGGGUACCUGAAGUGCGUAACCGCGAGGAGCGCCCUAGGGUAAAACUGGUGAUUGGGGCUAAGUCGUAACAAGGUAGCCGUACCGGAAGGUGCGGCUG
rnacentral:rRNA from 1 species